rnacentral:rRNA from 1 species
AGUGAACGCUGGCGGCGUGCCUAAUACAUGCAAGUCGAACGGAGUAGCGCACGGGUGAGUAAUAUAUAGCUAAUCUGCCCCUUGCUGGAGGACAACAGUUAGAAAUGACUGCUAAUACUCCAUAGCAAGGGAUGAGACUAUAUCGUAUCAGCUAGUCGGUGGGGUAACGGCCUACCGAGGCUAUGACGCGUAACUGGUCUGCGAGGAUGAUCAGUAACAUUGGAAGUGAGACACGGGCCAAAUACCUACGGGAGGGAGCAGUAGGGAAUAUUGCGCAAGGGGGGAAACCCUGACGCAGCAACGCGGCGUGGAGGAUGACACGUGUCGGAGCGUAAACUCCUUUUGAUAGGGAAGCGGUACCUAACGAAUAAGCACCGGCUAACUCCGUGCCAGCAGCCGCGGUAAUUC